rnacentral:rRNA from 1 species
AUUGAACGCUGGCGGCAUGCCUUACACAUGCAAGUCGAACGGCAGCACGGGUGCUUGCACCUGGUGGCGAGUGGCGAACGGGUGAGUAAUACAUCGGAACAUGUCCUGUAGUGGGGGAUAGCCCGGCGAAAGCCGGAUUAAUACCGCAUACGAUCUACGGAUGAAAGCGGGGGACCUUCGGGCCUCGCGCUAUAGGGUUGGCCGAUGGCUGAUUAGCUAGUUGUGGGGUAAAGGCCUACCAAGGCGACGAUCAGUAGCUGGUCUGAGAGGACGACCAGCCACACUGGGACUGAGACACGGCCCAGACUCCUACGGGAGGCAGCAGUGGGGAAUUUUGGACAAUGGGCGAAAGCCUGAUCCAGCAAUGCCGCGUGUGUGAAGAAGGCCUUCGGGUUGUAAAGCACUUUUGUCCGGAAAGAAAUCCUUGGCCCUAAUACGGUCGGGGGAUGACGGUACCGGAAGAAUAAGCACCGGCUAACUACGUG